AAAAUGACCGUUGUAGAGUAGACGCUCUUAAUAACCGCGUUACACAGACUGUCGCAAACUCACAACUCACAAACAACUCACAACUUAAACCACCGCCUCAUACUCAUAACUCAUAACUCUCAUAACUCAUAAAUCUAAAUCACCCUUCAUCAAGAAUUUGCUCUCUGCGAUUUUGCAAAACCCUAAUGAAAAAUCCCCCAUUCAUUUUCUCCUUAAAUUCAUGCUUUAGAAUAUAUUCGGCGACAAAUCAAAAUUUCGCUCCUUUUCCAACCAUUCUGAAUUUAGGAUGGAAUGUGAAGUUCUAGAAUUCGAUUUCUAGGGUUCCACAUUCCGUAAUUGAAUUCGUAUAAUUCAAAUGAGUGGUAAUCGAUUUCGGAAUUUUGAGUUAUCACCUUUUCAAGAUAGAAUAUUGUGGAUUUUUAUGAAUUUCAUUGAAGGUUGUUCAAAGCCAAGGAAAGCAGUUGCUUAAUGAUUGGUUAUAUGGACUAGUUUUGAUUGGAGAUCGUUAUGCAUCUGGGAAGUAAUAAGUGUGUGCUUUAUUAUCUUUUGAUAUUUGGUGUGGUUAUUAGUUUUGAUUGAAAGAUUUUAGAAGUCAUAUGAAUUGUUUUAUGAGAUUUGGAUGUGUUUGUGGGUUUGGUUUCAAGGCUUUUUAUGGUUCCAAUAUGUAAAUUAAGUAGCGUUCACUUUAAUUAUGUAUUAAAUUAUUUAAAUAUUUUUUCUGUUGUAAUAAGAAUACGCUGAAAAAAUAAUUUUUAUGUGUGGCUUAUUGUUUAA